CUCUAGUCACAGGAUUCCCGAAAGGGGGCCGAAGCAGCUGUUUCUCCUUAGAGCUGAGGCAGGGCAGCCGUGUGGGGGUCUGGCGGCUGCUUCUGGCUGGGUCACCGUGAACCUGGGGGCGGAGGACCCGCGAGUGUGUCAGUCAGGGUCCAGACAGACCCAGAAACCACUGCGGUCACUUUAACAGAGAGACUGUAGUACCAAGAAGUGUUAAUUAGGUUCUGAAGCAUUGAGAAGGCAGAGAGAAGGCUGAGGUGUCACAGCUUCACUCAGUCACAACCAGGAAGCAGUGGGGCUUCCCUGGGGCUGGAGGCACACAGGGAAAAGGUUGCAGUUGUCAGAACAAGAAGCUUGGAGGACAGCCGCAGAGGUGAAACCAGACCUUUGGGGAAGGGGUGCCAGCUGGUGGUGCUGGUGUCCCUGAGGGGAAACCAUGAGGCUGGUUCUGCGAGUCCUGGAAAAACAUGCAAAUGGGACUCAACGGCUCCUCCUGGAGUGAACUGCUGCUGUCAGUCAGGCGGAAAAGCCUGGCUAGGGGACGGGAUGUUGGGCAGCUGGGUUUCGGUUCCGUCUCUCAGUUUUCUUCCUUCCAGGACCAAUCCUGAACAUUGCCGUUUCAAUCAAUGAGACUUUCAUGGAAAACGCCUAGUAUGCCCCCAGCCCUGGCGGCUGGGUGCCAGAGACACACAUACAAUGGGGAAACUGAGGUGCAGAGACCUUUGGGAACUUGCCUAAGAUUAUUAUUUGGCCAGUAAGCAGCAGAGCCUGAAUACGAACCGAAUCAGUGUGGCUCCACUACCCAGAUUCUUCACGAUGUCACCUCAUUGCCCCAAGUCCUAAAAAGAUGGACAUGGAAACAGAUCAUUUCAGCACAAGGUGGAGAAUGCCAUGUGGGGAGGGCCUCACAGAGGUGUGAUACACACUUACACACUGUUCGGCGUCGGGGCGUCAAGUUGAGAACCCCCACUGUCCCAUUUCCUCCCGCUGUCUCCUGUCCACACCUGAGUCUCCUCUCUGAAGGGCCUGCUGGGCCCUAUGGGGAGCAGAGAGAAACCCACGCCACCGCCUGGCCUUGAAGAGAGAAGACAAGACUCACAGGCAGAUACACCAAGUGGACCGUUGCAUCGCUUCCUCCUCUCCGAGCCUCAGUUUCCUCACCAGUGAAGUGGGCGGGCUGGACUGAGUCCUCAGGAGGGCCCUGCAGCUCUCCCGCCCUUACCUGGAAGGCUGUCUCCUCUUCUUCCAUCUCUCCUGCCCUGGCACCGCCUCCCCGGCUCCUCCGGCCCCACUCACCCCCGACUCAUCCGAAGGACGGCUUUUUAAGACUCAGCCCGGCUCCACCUGCUUCUCCCACGAAAGGCGACAUGCCAGAGGGCAGAGCAUGGCCUCGAAUGCUGCGCCAUUACUGUCAGCCGCGGACCGAGAGCCACUGCAGCCUGGUCCAACACCACUCCACCGUCUUUCAAACAGGAGUAAGGCCCACAGCGCCCGGCAGGGGUGGGUGUGAAGACGAGCUAAUGUGCUGCACACACAGUAGGUCCUUGUUAUGGACUGAAUUGUGUCCCCUCAGAUUCCUAUGUUGAAGCCCUAACCCCCAGUGCCAGAAUGUGACUGUAUCUGGAGAGAGGGCCUUUAAAGAGGGAAGUAAGUUAAAAUGAGGCCGUUAGGGUGGGCCCUGACACAGUGAAAAUGGUGUCCUGGGAAGAGGAGGCUAUCAGAACACAGAGAGAGCCACCAGGGCGCGUGCACAGAGGGACGGCCAUGUGAAGAGGCAGCAAGGGCACGGCUGUCUGCACUCCAAGGAGAGGGGGCCAGGAGAAAUCAGGCCUUCUGGCACCUCCAUUUUGGACCUCCAGCCUCCAGAGCUGUGAGAAGGUCAACUUGUUUGAACCACCCCGUCUGUGGUACUUUGUCAUGGCAGCCGGGGCAGACAAAUACAGUCCUUAAGAGGCGCCAAUCCUUUCGGCCUUGACUUUGUGUCAGCCUUGUUUGGUGUGUGAGAAGGCUUGUUCCUCGGCUUAUAAAUGACUGGAGGGCAAGUUCCAGGCAGCUGUGUCUUUCCCUGUGGGCCCGGAGGGCGCAGUUCGAUGCCAGGCACAGGGGGCACACACGCGGAGCCCUGUGCUCACUGCCGGCUCCGCCCACCUGCCGACAAGGGUGGGGACCCCGCUGCCAUCCACCGAGGUGCCUCUCAAACUUCAGUCAUGGAGUCAAUUUAGGGAGUCACACGAGCACCUUUCAAGAAUAACAACACAGAGCGGAAGAGAAAAGAUGCCCGGGUGCGUCUCAGGGAGUGAG
rnacentral:lncRNA from 1 species